AUGUCUCCCCAGCUCUCCUCUCUCGCUGCAUCCUUGGGCAUUUGCGUAGUCUCAGCUCUCGCCAUAGCCCUUCUGGUGAUCACCCUCUACAUCCUAGGCACAGCCGUUUUCUGCAUCAGAGAGUUCACCCAGAGAGCUCAUGACUGGCCACCGCUUAUCGGUACCGUGUUCCGGCAGCUCAACAACUUUGACAAGAUCUUCGUUGAGCAUGUGAACGCCGACCCUGCCGUCGUCGAGCAUGUCCUCAAGACAAACUUCGGUAAAUACAGCAGGGGGGCCUUCAACACAGAAAUCGUGAAGGAUCUCUUUGGAAAUGGGAUUUUUGUGACAGACGGGGACAAGUGGCGGCACCAGAGGAAGCUAGCAAGCCACGAGUUCUCAACCAAAGUGCUACGUGACUACAGCAGUGACGUUUUCAGAAUGAAUGCUGUAAAACUGGCAGAGAAGACCUCAUCUGCAGCAGCUAACAGAAUUACCAUAAACAUGCAGUAA
rnacentral:rRNA from 1 species